rnacentral:rRNA from 1 species
UACGAAGGGGGCUAGCGUUGUUCGGAUUUACUGGGCGUAAAGCGCGCGUAGGCGGACUUUUAAGUCAGGGGUGAAAUCCCAGAGCUCAACUCUGGAACUGCCUUUGAUACUGGAAGUCUUGAGUAUGGAAGAGGUUGGUGGAACUGCGAGUGUAGAGGUGAAAUUCGUAGAUAUUCGCAAGAACACCAGUGGCGAAGGCGGCCAACUGGUCCAUUACUGACGCUGAGGUGGCGAAAAGCAUGGGGAGCCGAAC